rnacentral:rRNA from 1 species
AGCGAACGCUGGCGGCAGGCCUAACACAUGCAAGUCGAACGAAGUCUUCGGACUUAGUGGCGGACGGGUGAGUAACGCGUAGGAAGCUACCCGGUAGAGGGGGAUACCAGUUGGAAACGACUGUUAAUACCGCAUAAUGUCUACGGACCAAAGUGUGGGACCUUCGGGCCACAUGCUAUCGGAUGCGCCUACGUGGGAUUAGCUAGUUGGUGAGGUAAUGGCUCACCAAGGCGACGAUCCCUAGCUGGUUUGAGAGGAUGAUCAGCCACACUGGAACUGAGACACGGUCCAGACUCCUACGGGAGGCAGCAGUGGGGAAUAUUGGACAAUGGGCGCAAGCCUGAUCCAGCCAUGCCGCGUGUGUGAAGAAGGCCUUCGGGUUGUAAAGCACUUUCAGUAGGGAGGAAGCGUUGUGUGUUAAUAGUACACAGCGUUGACGUUACCUACAGAAGAAGCACCGGCUAACUCUGUGCCAGCAGCCGCGGUAAGAC